UUUGAACUUACAGUGCUUACUUAAGUCCUGGCAAAUCAUAGGUGGUGGAAAUGUCUGUACCAAGAUUCCAAAAAAUAAACUUUGGAACAUAUGAUAAUUACAUUCCAGUCAGUGAAUUAAGCAAAAAAUCAUGGAAUCAGCAAUACUUUGCCCUGGUAUUUCCCAAACCACCACGGCCAGGAAAAAAAAGGAGAUCAAAACCAUCUCAACUACGAGACAAUACAGCUCCUAAAUAUGAUGAAGAGAAAUUAAGAGAAGGUCCUAAACGACCGUUAUGGAUGCACAGUUCUUUAAUGAGAAUUUCUGAAAGACCAUCUGAUUAUUUAGCUGCCAGGAUAUGGCCCCCACAUAAACCAACCCAUCACUCCAAGGAGGUUGCUAAAGUAGCAGAUGUACACAAACCUGUAUCUCCAGCAAGAGGUAAGAAAGAUAAAGAACACAAGAAAGCAGACAAGAAAGACAAAUCAGAAUCAGAAUCAGAAUCCACAGUUUCAAAGGGACCACUAAUAACUAGGAAGGAGUCAAAGAAAGAUAAGGAUAUAGAAACAGGAACUAAAGGUGAAAAAGAUGUUGCAAAAACAGAUGUCAAAAAAGAGAAGAAACAUACAAAGAAGGGUAAGGAGUCAGCUACAGAAUCUGAAGAGGAACAAAAAGGUGCAAAAAAGGAUACCAAAAAAGAAAGAAAAGAUUCAAAGAAGGGUAAGGAGUCAGGUACAGAAUCUGAAGGUGAAAAGAAAGAUGCCAAGAAAGGUGCUAAGAAAGAAAAGAAAGAUUCAAAGGACAAGGAGUCAGGUAUAGAAUCUGAAGGUGAGAAGAAAGAUGCCAAGAAAGAUGCCAAUAAUGAAAAGAAAGAUUCAAAGGACAAGGAGUCAGGUACAGAAUCUGAAGGUGAAAAGAAAGGGGCCACGAAAGGUGCCAAGAAAGAUAAGAAAGACUCAAAGGACAAAGAGUCAGGUACAGAAUCUGAAGGUGACAAGAAAGAUGCCAAGAAAGAAAAGAAAGAUUCAAAAAAGGGCAAGGAGUCAGGUACAGAAUCUGAAGGUGAAAAGAAAGGGGCCACGAAAGGUGCCAAGAAAGAUAAGAAAGAUUCAAAGGACAAGGAGAUAGGUAUAGAAUCUGAAGGUGAAAAGAAAGGGUCCACAAAAGGUGCCAAGAAAGAUAAGAAAGACUCAAAGGACAAAGAGUCAGGUACAGAAUCUGAAAGUGAAAAGAAAGAUGCCAAGAAAGAAAAGAAAGAUUCAAAAAAGGUCAAGGAGUCAGGUACAGAAUCUGAAGGUGAAAAAAAGAAUUCAAAGAAAGAUGCCAAGAAAGAUAAGAAAGAUUCAAAGAAGAGCAAAGAAUCAAGUAUAGCAUCUGAAGAUGAAAAGAAGGGUGCCAAGAAGGAUAAGGAUGGGAAAAAAGAUUCAAAGAAACCAGGAGAAAAAGAUGAUGAGUCAAAAGACAAGAAAGAAUCCAAGAAAGAUGCAAAGAGAAAGGUGAGUAAAAAAGAGAAGAAAGAUGAAAAGCCCAGCGGGACAGAUACUGAAUCAAAAGAUGAUGCCAAGAAAGAUGCCAAGAAGAAUGCCAAGAAAGAUGCCAAGAAAGAUACUGACACAGAAUCUCCUGAUGCAAAGAAGGAUACAAAGGAUGCAAAGAAGGAUGCAAAGAAGGAUGCAAAGAAGGAUGCUAAGGCAAAGAAAGGCAAGUAGGUCUUGGAUAAAAUUCAAAAGCAUGUUUGAUAAAACAAUUUUAGCAAUCUGAUACUAAAUCUAUGAGUGACAGGGGGCCUCAAAGAAUCAAAUAAUUUUUAAAGUGGAGCAAAGAAGAAUACAAAGAAAGACUCAUAAAAUCAUAAAAAUAUAAAGAAGAAAAGAAAAAUUAAGAGAUGAUUCAAUGAAGAACUUGGAGGAUACAUAUGCUAAGUUUGGGGAUAUGAAGGAUUCAAUGAAAAAUCCCUAGAAAUGUUCAAAGAAGAAUAUUCAAAUCAGGAUGUAGAAGUUAAUGACACUGGAUCUGUGGAUAGCAAAAAAAUAAAAAAUAUAUAUAUAUCAAGACUUCAAAAAAAUCCAAGGAGGUAGACAUUCAAUCUAUAUAAUCAAACUGUGAAGCUGCAUCCACAGAUUUAAAUAAAGAACUAUAGGUGUAUCAGAGGAAGUCAAAAAAAUUUCAGAAAGUCUUUCAAAUAAGUACAAAUUAAAAGUAGCAUUCUUCAAAAAAAAUACGGAAGGAAGGAAGGAAGGAAGGAAGGAAGGAAGGAAGGAAGGAAGAAAAGAAUUGCUUCCUUGUGAACCUAUACCAUCAUCCCUGAAGUGUAAACAGCCACACCAGGUUGAUGGAAAUUAAAUUCCACAUCCAAGCCAAGACAAACACACUUGAAUAUAGUAGCCAACUUCUCUCCAUUUAAGACAGGAAAAUCAAACUUUUCCAAAUUGCCAAGAGAAUAUUAUAAGACAAGAAGAUGCUAAACAGCACAGAGAUAACUGCAAACAUGAGCAUGGAAGAACUAAGGAAAGAUAUGUAGAAAAAAGAACACUUAUAAAGGUCUUUCUGGAAGUACAGGGGAACCUUGCUCAACCAUCAUGUCAUCAUGAAGGAGGGACAAGAAAAGAAUAUAAAACACAGAACUCAAAGCAGAAUGGGAAAGUACUAUCUCACAUCCAAAUACCAUUAAUUCUAAAAAGCAUUAGAAAAAAUGAAUUAUGCCUGGAGACAAGCUGGCAAUAACCAGAGAAGGAAGUUUCAUGGUGUAUAGAGAGGGUAAAAGAACAUGGAAUGGUGAAGUUCAGCCUUUGGAUAAAGGAAGUGAAAAAAAAAGCCUGGGCAUUCGAAAUAUAUUUUUGUGGAGAAAAAAGGCUUAGAGCCAAACCAGGAGAACAGCUUUAAUGGGAGUCAUUCGCUAAACCACCUAAUGAAAGUGAAACAAAGAUGAUCAAGAUUAUGACUAUGUGAAGUCUCCCACCCAUCAGAAACCCUACUGUAAUUGCAUGUAGGAAAUGAUCUGGAAAAAAAAAGAAUGGCCAUCAACUAUUUUCAGCAUGCUCUGUUUAUCUCUUCAGAAACUUCUCCUUCAUGAUGUUUCCCCCCAUCACCCCAGUGAAACAUGCAGACUACCAUGAAGAUAUACUAAAAAUUCUAACACCCUGGAGGAGUCUAAAAUCCCAUUCAGUUGCAAAUCUUCCUGUCAUGGGAGUUGAUUGCCAGCUCUAAUUUUGAGUGAACGCAUUAAACAUGAUGGUGAAAAUAUCAAUUAAAAAAAUCUACUCUCCAUA